rnacentral:rRNA from 1 species
UACGAAGGGGGCUAGCGUUGUUCGGAAUUACUGGGCGUAAAGCGCGCGCAGGCGGUCUUUCAAGUCAGUGGUGAAAGCCCGGAGCUCAACUCCGGAAAUGCCAUUGAAACUGUAAGACUUGAGGAUGAGAGAGGUGAGUGGAAUUCCCAGUGUAGAGGUGAAAUUCGUAGAUAUUGGGAAGAACACCGGUGGCGAAGGCGGCUCACUGGCUCAUAUCUGACGCUCAGGCGCGACAGCGUGGGGAGCAAACAGG